rnacentral:misc_RNA from 1 species
GUCUGAUGAGAAGGAGAAGAUUGAGACAGCAACGAAAGAAGCCCUUGAAUGGUUAGACGAUAACCAGAGCGCCGAGAAAGAGGACUAUGACGAGAAGCUCAAAGAGGUCGAGGCAGUUUGCAACCCAAUCAUCACAGCUGUUUAUCAACGAUCAGGUGGAGCCCCAGGUGGCGGUGCAUCGGAAGAAGAAGAUGACAGCCAUGAUGAGCUGUAAGCUGUUCCAAAGAAUCUCCAUUGAUACUGCAAAGAUGCAGGAAAUGAGGAUAUAUAGAGUAGUUUGAAGUGAGGGUUAGUGCAAGUUUUGUCAUUCGUUCUGAAAAAUCUCUCCCCCCUUCGCUUAGUUUUUUUUAGGUGAAGAUUUUACUAAAGGAUGUUUCCGUUCUUUGAGAACGACGGCUUGUAUGUUGCUUCGAUCUGUUGAAUACAACUUCAGAAUUUUAUUUAGUUCAUCUUUUGAGCA